CGAUGUUACCCUAAUCUCAUCUACAGACAACAGCCACCAUCAAACCACUACUCACUGCCACCACAUGGCCACAACCUCCUAAAGACGUCACCUCCAUUUCUUCAUGUUCUUGACUAGGGAUGCUCCAUAUUCGAAUUGACGAGGCCUGUUGUUUCUCUGGGUUUACGAUUUCCAAGAUUUCUGUACAAUUUACCCAAAUUUUGUUAAUCUCUCCUCCGAUCGAGCCCCACCGUAUAUAAUAUACACCGACUGAAAGUCGGCCAUGGGCCCGGGUAUAACGAGCAGUAACCGCGUCGCCGAUGGAGAUGCGGGUGGAGGAAGUAUUUGCACUGAGAAAAUGGCAUCGGUGAGUUUGUUCCAAAACCCUUGAACCGAUUUCCUUCCAAAACCCUUCAAAUUAGUGAUUUUAAACUUUAUUAUUGAAGUUUUGAAGCACAAGAGUUCGAUUCAGGCCUUGUCGAGACGAUUCUUUCUUCAAAGCUUUUGUAUACUGUAUAGAUUUAUUAUCUCAUGAUGUAAGUAAAAAAAACCGUAAAUUUUUUUAUUUGAAAGGGUUGGUGUUUUUGCGUCUUGUUACAAUGUAAAGUUUUGUUAUGAAAAUGUUCGUUUGACUAUCGUGGUCGGUCAUAGCAUUUGUUGAAUUUAUUGGUAAUGUGUGUUUUACAAAUUAAACACUUACAUGCUACAAAUUUAUUCAAGUUCCAAAAAGUUGCAAUAAAUCCAUGUAUAUUUU
rnacentral:lncRNA from 1 species